rnacentral:rRNA from 2 species
AAAUUGAAGAGUUUGAUCAUGGCUCAGAUUGAACGCUGGCGGCAGGCCUAACACAUGCAAGUCGAACGGUAACAGGAAGCAGCUUGCUGCUUUGCUGACGAGUGGCGGACGGGUGAGUAAUGUCUGGGAAACUGCCUGAUGGAGGGGGAUAACUACUGGAAACGGUGGCUAAUACCGCAUAACGUCGCAAGACCAAAGAGGGGGACCUUCGGGCCUCUUGCCAUCAGAUGUGCCCAGAUGGGAUUAGCUAGUUGGUGAGGUAACGGCUCACCAAGGCGACGAUCCCUAGCUGGUCUGAGAGGAUGACCAGCCACACUGGAACUGAGACACGGUCCAGACUCCUACGGGAGGCAGCAGUGGGGAAUAUUGCACAAUGGGCGCAAGCCUGAUGCAGCCAUGCCGCGUGUAUGAAGAAGGCCUUCGGGUUGUAAAGUACUUUCAGCGGGGAGGAAGGCGUUGUGGUUAAUAACCGCAGC